ACUUCUGUGGCUCAGUUGGUUAGAGCGUCCGCUUUACAUGUUUCACGCGGAAGGUCGUGAGUUCGAUCCUCACCGGGGGUA
rfam:Trichosporon oleaginosus strain IBC0246 unplaced genomic scaffold CC85scaffold_13, whole genome shotgun sequence.